AAGAAUAUAGUUAAUUAUAACAUUUGAUCUGCAAUCAAAAAGUAUUGAUCCCCAAUUUUUCUUA
rnacentral:tRNA from 1 species